GUCGAGCGGGCAUAGCAAUAUGUCAGCGGCAGACGGGUGAGUAACGCGUGGGAACGUACCUUUUGGUUCGGAACAACUGAGGGAAACUUCAGCUAAUACCGGAUAAGCCCUUACGGGGAAAGAUUUAUCGCCGAAAGAUCGGCCCGCGUCUGAUUAGCUAGUUGGUGAGGUAAUGGCUCACCAAGGCGACGAUCAGUAGCUGGUCUGAGAGGAUGAUCAGCCACAUUGGGACUGAGACACGGCCCAAACUCCUACGGGAGGCAGCAGUGGGGAAUAUUGGACAAUGGGCGCAAGCCUGAUCCAGCCAUGCCGCGUGAGUGAUGAAGGCCCUAGGGUUGUAAAGCUCUUUUGUGCGGGAAGAUAAUGACGGUACCGCAAGAAUAAGCCCCGGCUAACUUCGUGCCAGCAGCCGCGGUAAUACGAAGGGGGCUAGCGUUGCUCGGAAUCACUGGGCGUAAAGGGUGCGUAGGCGGGUCUUUAAGUCAGGGGUGAAAUCCUGGAGCUCAACUCCAGAACUGCCUUUGAUACUGAAGAUCUUGAGUUCGGGAGAGGUGAGUGGAACUGCGAGUGUAGAGGUGAAAUUCGUAGAUAUUCGCAAGAACACCAGUGGCGAAGGCGGCUCACUGGCCCGAUACUGACGCUGAGGCACGAA
rnacentral:rRNA from 1 species